rnacentral:lncRNA from 1 species
UUACUGAGUUUCACAAAGUCUCAUCAUUCAGUUUAAGCAAAGGUUCUCUUGAGCAUCCUGGGAUUGAUGAAACUAGGAGAGUUAAAACGUGUCCUGGACACUCCAUCAGUAUAUUUGUAGAUAUGACUUAGCAUUCCUCAAUGAGUUUUUGCUGUCAGCCUCUCUGUUUCUACUCCAAAUGCUCAUAUGCCCUAACUCUGUCUUUCUAAUCAUAGAUAGCUGUCAAUUUCCUCUAUUUAGAAAUUGUUGACUUUUGUUCCCUCAAAAAAAAGAAUGGAUAGAUACCUCUUGGUUAACAAGCAAGUGUAGGAAUAGAGAUGUUAACUCCUUGAAACUCAUUUUAACCUGAAAUUCUUUGGAGCAGAAAUAAACUACAAGAGUGGCACAUACUUCCAAAGAGUCACAAGUGAAGGAUGGCAUGAGAUUUUUUAAAAAAUUCUCUAAGACAUUGAGAAAGCAUUUUAGAGAGAUACUUCAUUUAAGAAAACGUUGUUUUGAGUAGUAUGUCUUAGCUGCCUAUAGCCAUAUUGGGAAUAAAAAAAUUCUUUUUUGCUUUAGUGUGUCAAUAAGGAAAAAUCACAUCUAAGGCCAUUUGGUUAAAAUAACUCACCAAACCCUAAAAAUGAGGGCCACUAAGCUGCCUUGGUACAAAGGUAAGAAAAAUGAGGGAACAUUUGCCCCAUCUCGUUAAAUCCUAGUUGGACUUAGCAGUGACCUAGCUUCAGAGCUCUGUUUAGAGAGAACAUUCUAG